rnacentral:tRNA from 1 species
GGGCGACGCGCUGCAAGGUGCGGCAGCGGACUGUAACUCCGCCGGGGGAGACCCCAUGCCUGGUUCGAUUCCAGGGUCGCCCACCA